UUGUUCGCAAUGGGCGCAAGCCUGACGACGCAACGCCGCGUGGAGGAUGAAGAUCUUCGGGUCGUAAACUCCUGUCGAGUGGGAAGAAUAGUUUCCGGGCGAAUAUCCCGGGAGCCUGACGGUACCACUAAAGGAAGCCCCGGCUAACUCCGUGCCAGCAGCCGCGGUAAUACGGGGGGGGCAAGCGUUGUUCGGAAUUACUGGGCGUAAAGGGCUCGUAGGCGGCCAACUAAGUCGGAUGUGAAAUCCCCAGGCUCAACCUGGGAACUGCAUCCGAUACUGGAUGGCUUGAAUUCGGGAGAGGGAUGCAGAAUUCCAGGUGUAGCGGUGAAAUGCGUAGAGAUCGGGAGGAACAUCUGUGGCGAAGGCGGCCACCUGGACCAGCACUGACACUGAGGCACGAAAGCGUGGGGAGCAAAC
rnacentral:rRNA from 1 species